UAGAGGAGAGCAAGAUAACAGAAAGCAAUUUUUCAUAUCAACUUCUCACACUAUUGUACAUAAGCAAAUCAAAGCUGAUGGGAAAGAUUUUUUGAAGUUCAAGCCUACUAUCAAUGAAUGCAACAAUUUGUAAUGCAAUGCAGAAGCAAAUUCCUUGUCAUUCAAACCAGCCAGACUUGGGAAGAUUAAUUUAAAUGUCUAUGAUAUUUAAGAAAAAAGGAAUCAAGGUCACAUUAUCCAUUUCUGUUCUAGUACCUCCAAACUGUGUUGGUAAUAUGGCUAAAAUUUUAAAAAUCAAUUUGUUAAAAGUGUAGUCUAGCAAUGUCUCAUCAAUGGCUUUGAAGAAAGUUCAUUGAUCAGAGUUCAUUGUUCAAGCACAUCUGAUAAUGGCAGACACACAUGGGUACAUCAUCAGGGAGGAAAAGCAUACAUACUGACAAGUCCAGGAAUAAUGAGGGCACUGAACUGCUCCUCCUCAGUAGUUCCCCAGGGUCAAGGUCCAGUUAUCCAAUGGUCCAGGAAAGACAGGAUUGUGAGAGAUGGUAAUAGCUUAGCACAGGAGGCAAAGCUUUUAGAAUGCUGUGAGUAUGGUAAAGAGAUAGAAUCAAAAGAAAAGUUCACAACCAAUGGCUUGUCUUGCCUUGCCUUAAAAAUACACAAGUUCUGCUUUCUUGUGCUCAAGAACAUUCCUUGAUGAUCUUUGCAAUGACUGAACCUUUGGCAUUGAGUAGGAAAUGGGGAAAAAUCUCUGCAUUACAAAAGAAACAAGAAGAUGUGUGAAAAAUUGAAGUGACAUGUUGGAAAAAAGGCAGAUAUGGUUGAAGAUCCGAUCAUUAUUGUGGGUGUAGUUUUUUCUUUCUUCCAGAGAAUCACGUGACAAAUAAUUUCAGAGAAAAGUUAUUCUUUUCCUGACACUAUUGUUCAGAAUGUUAUAGAAAUAUAUUGAAUCCUUGCUUUUUAAUAAUCUGCAUGGAUUUUUAUUUCAGCUGUUCACUUUCCACCAUUUUGUGUUAUAGGCCCAACCAGCACGGCUGAGGAUGUAGCAAACCUCUGGAGACUUACUUGCUGGGUACCAGAGAACAGGUGCAAGAAUGAGGUGAGAUUGCGUGAAUGCACUGGAAAUGGUGGACUUCAACAUCAGCACCACAAUCUGCAAGAGAAGAAGGCAGCAAUACCCGUGACCUGCACGAGCGACACAUCCACGUGCUGGUGCCUUCUUCACACAAGAGGUCUGACUUUUCAUGUCAAGCAGAGGUGAUAUUUCCCUGGUGAACAAGGUCUUCAUCUGUCAUGGACACGGUUGUGUCUCUGUGAUGUGCAAAUCACCUUCUGCAUGGAUGUGCUGGGCUAAGCAGUGAAAUCCUUUGAGAACUUUGUUUCUCCUUGUCCUUUCUGUCUGCAGUAUUUGUCGUCUCUUUUUGUGUGAAAAAUAAAAUAAUAAUAAUGCAA